AACGCGAAGAACCUUACCUACUCUUGACAUCCAGAGAACUUAGCAGAGAUGCUUUGGUGCCUUCGGGAACUCUGAGACAGGUGCUGCAUGGCUGUCGUCAGCUCGUGUUGUGAAAUGUUGGGUUAAGUCCCGCAACGAGCGCAACCCUUAUCCUUUGUUGCCAGCGCGUGAUGGCGGGAACUCAAAGGAGACUGCCGGUGAUAAACCGGAGGAAGGUGGGGAUGACGUCAAGUCAUCAUGGCCCUUACGAGUAGGGCUACACACGUGCUACAAUGGCGUAUACAAAGGGAAGCGACCCCGCGAGGGCAAGCGGAACUCAUAAAGUACGUCGUAGUCCGGAUUGGAGUCUGCAACUCGACUCCAUGAAGUCGGAAUCGCUAGUAAUCGUAGAUCAGAAUGCUACGGUGAAUACGUUCCCGGGUCUUGUACACACCG
rnacentral:rRNA from 1 species